rnacentral:rRNA from 1 species
UGACGGUACCUGACUAAGAAGCACCGGCUAAAUACGUGCCAGCAGCCGCGGUAAUACGUAUGGUGCAAGCGUUAUCCGGAUUUACUGGGUGUAAAGGGAGCGUAGACGGCGAGGCAAGUCAGAUGUGAAAGCACGAGGCUCAACUUCGUGUCUGCAUUUGAAACUGUAGUUCUUGAGUGCUGGAGAGGCUAACGGAAUUCCUAGUGUAGCGGUGAAAUGCGUAGAUAUUAGGAGGAACACCAGUGGCGAAGGCGGUUAGCUGGACAGUAACUGACGCUGAGGCGCGAAAGCGUGGGGAGCAAACAGGAUUAGAUACCCUG